GCGGCGGACGGGUGAGUAACGUGUGGGUAACCUGCCCUGUACACACGGAUAACAUACCGAAAGGUAUGCUAAUACGAGAUAAUAUACUUUUAUCGCAUGGUAGAAGUAUCAAAGCUUUUGCGGUACAGGAUGGACCCGCGUCUGAUUAGCUAGUUGGUAAGGUAACGGCUUACCAAGGCGACGAUCAGUAGCCGACCUGAGAGGGUGAUCGGCCACAUUGGAACUGAGACACGGUCCAAACUCCUACGGGAGGCAGCAGUGGGGAAUAUUGCACAAUGGGCGAAAGCCUGAUGCAGCAACGCCGCGUGAGCGAUGAAGGCCUUCGGGUCGUAAAGCUCUGUCCUCAAGGAAGAUAAUGACGGUACUUGAGGAGGAAGCCCCGGCUAACUACGUGCCAGCAGCCGCGGUAAUACGUAGGGGGCUAGCGUUAUCCGGAAUUACUGGGCGUAAAGGGUGCGUAGGUGGUUUCUUAAGUCAGAGGUGAAAGGCUACGGCUCAACCGUAGUAAGCCUUUGAAACUGGGAAACUUGAGUGCAGGAGAGGAGAGUGGAAUUCCUAGUGUAGCGGUGAAAUGCGUAGAUAUUAGGAGGAACACCAGUUGCGAAGGCGCUCUCUGACUGUACUGACACUGAG
rnacentral:rRNA from 1 species